GGCGGGGUAACGGCCAACCAAGGCAACGAUCAGUAGGGGUUCUGAGAGGAAGGUCCCCCACAUUGGAACUGAGACACGGUCCAAACUCCUACGGGAGGCAGCAGUGAGGAAUAUUGGUCAAUGGGCGAGAGCCUGAACCAGCCAAGUAGCGUGCAGGAAGACGGCCCUAUGGGUUGUAAACUGCUUUUAUAAGGGAAUAAAGUGAGUCUCGUGAGACUUUUUGCAUGUACCUUAUGAAUAAGGACCGGCUAAUUCCGUGCCAGCAGCCGCGGUAAUACGGAAGGUCCGGGCGUUAUCCGGAUUUAUUGGGUUUAAAGGGAGCGUAGGCCGGAGAUUAAGCGUGUUGUGAAAUGUAGACGCUCAACGUCUGCACUGCAGCGCGAACUGGUUUCCUUGAGUACGCACAAAGUGGGCGGAAUUCGUGGUGUAGCGGUGAAAUGCUUAGAUAUCACGAAGAACUCCGAUUGCGAAGGCAGCUCACUGGAGCGCAACUGACGCUGAAGCUCGAAAGUGCGGGUAUCGAACAGGAUUAGAUACCCUGGUAGUCCGCACGGUAAACGAUGGAUGCCCGCUGUUGGUCUGAACAGGUCAGCGGCCAAGCGAAAGCAUUAAGCAUCCCACCUGGGGAGUACGCCGGCAACGGUGAAACUCAAAGGAAUUGACGGGGGCCCGCACAAGCGGAGGAACAUGUGGUUUAAUUCGAUGAUACGCGAGGAACCUUACCCGGGCUUGAAUUGCAGAGGAAGGAUUUGGAGACAAUGACGCCCUUCGGGGUCUCUGUGAAGGUGCUGCAUGGUUGUCGUCAGCUCGUGCCGUGAGGUGUCGGCUUAAGUGCCACAACGAGCGCAACCCCUCUCCUUAGUUGCCAUCAGGUUAAGCUGGGCACUCUGGGGACACUGCCACCGUAAGGUGUGAGGGAGGUGGGGAUGACGUCAAAUCAGCACGGCCCUUACGUCCGGGGCUACACACGUGUUACAAUGGCAGGUACAGAGAGACGGUUGUACGUAAGUACGAUCAAAUCCUUAAAGCCUGUCUCAGUUCGGACUGGGGUCUGCAACCCGACCCCACGAAGCUGGAUUCGCUAGUAAUCGCGCAUCAGCCAUGGCGCGGUGAAUACGUUCCCGGGCCUUGUACACACCGCCCGUCAAGCCAUGAAAGCCGGGGGCGCCUAAAGUCCGUGACCGUAAGGAGCGGCCUAGGGCGAAACUGGUAAUUGGGGCUAAGUCGUAACAAGGUA
rnacentral:rRNA from 1 species